GGGGGGGUUCCGGAUUAUUGGGCGUAAGAGCUCGUAGGCGGUUUGUCGCGUCUGCCGUGAAAGUCCGGGGCUCAACUCCGGAUCUGCGGUGGGUACGGGCAGACUAGAGUGAUGUAGGGGAGACUGGAAUUCCUGGUGUAGCGGUGAAAUGCGCAGAUAUCAGGAGGAACACCGAUGGCGAAGGCAGGUCUCUGGGCAUUAACUGACGCUGAGGAGCGAAAGCAUGGGGAGCGAACAGGAUUAGAUACCCUGGUAGUCCAUGCCGUAAACGUUGGGCACUAGGUGUGGGGGACAUUCCACGUUUUCCGCGCCGUAGCUAACGCAUUAAGUGCCCCGCCUGGGGAGUACGGCCGCAAGGCUAAAACUCAAAGGAAUUGACGGGGGCCCGCACAAGCGGCGGAGCAUGCGGAUUAAUUCGAUGCAACGCGAAGAACCUUACCAAGGCUUGACAUGAACCGGUAAGACCUGGAAACAGGUCCCCCACUUGUGGCCGGUUUACAGGUGGUGCAUGGUUGUCGUCAGCUCGUGUCGUGAGAUGUUGGGUUAAGUCCCGCAACGAGCGCAACCCUCGUUCCAUGUUGCCAGCGCGUUAUGGCGGGGACUCAUGGGAGACUGCCGGGGUCAACUCGGAGGAAGGUGGGGACGACGUCAAAUCAUCAUGCCCCUUAUGUCUUGGGCUUCACGCAUGCUACAAUGGCCGGUACAAAGGGUUGCGAUACUGUGAGGUGGAGCUAAUCCCAAAAAGCCGGUCUCAGUUCGGAUUGGGGUCUGCAACUCGACCCCAUGAAGUCGGAGUCGCUAGUAAUCGCAGAUCAGCAACGCUGCGGUGAAUACGUUCCCGGGCCUUGUACACACCGCCCGUCAAGUCACGAAAGUUGGUAACACCCGAAGCCGGUGGCCUAACCCCUUGUGGGAGGGAGCUGUCGAAGGUGGGACUGGCGAUUGGGACUAAGUCGUAACAAGGUAAC
rnacentral:rRNA from 1 species